CGAGCAUCCUCACUAUCCGCCACAAGAGGGCGGUCAUCAAAAGCCAGUGAAAGGUCACGCUGCCCUCCGCAGACACCGGAAGAGGGUUUUCAUGGAGAAUGCACUCCUUGAAAUGGCUUCCUCUCACAAUCUAUCCAAGGACUUGCCAACCCAGAACCCUCUGGGCUUUCACGUGCUGGAGCCCCCAGUGGUAGAAGAAUUGAAGGGACUGUGGUGAUCAAGAACAAGCAUAGCUUGAUGAUGGCAUCUUGGAACUGCUGUCUCCUUGCUUCCUGGAACAUGAAGGAAAACAACUAUUAGAUGACGUCACAUUAGCCCAUGUUCUCUAACAUGUGGUUGAAUAUCAUCCAUAAAUGGUCUAUAUAAGUAUAGGGCCAAAGCUAGGAUGCUGUAAAACACAAGAUAUCCUGCCAUUCUGUACACCACUUAUAAAGAAAAAUAUUACCAAGUAUGCUAUAACAUAGCACGAAGACGGUCCCAUUAGACGUGUGCUAUUAGAUACCACUUUUCUUUGAAGUUUCUACUCCAAAGGCCUUUUCCAUUUCUGUGACUGUCCAUGUCAUUGUUGAGGAUGACACCAAGUUCUACAAUCUUUGCGACUAAACCCAAUCUACUUUCA